CUCCGGUUGAUCCCGCCGGACCCGACUGCUAUCAGAGUGGGACUAAGCCAUGCGAGUCAACAUAGCAAUAUGUGGCAUACGGCUCAGUAACACGUAGUCAACAUGCCCAGGGGACGUGGAUAACCUCGGGAAACUGAGGAUAAACCGCGAUAGGUCAUCACUUCUGGAAUGGGUAAUGACUUAAAUCUAUAUGGCCCCUGGAUUGGACUGCGGCCGAUCAGGCUGUUGGUGAGGUAAUGGCCCACCAAACCUGUAACCGGUACGGGCUCUGAGAGGAGGAGCCCGGAGAUGGGCACUGAGACAAGGGCCCAGGCCCUAUGGGGCGCAGCAGGCGCGAAACCUCUGCAAUAGGCGAAAGCUUGACAGGGUUACUCUGAGUGAUUUCCGUUAAGGAGAUCUUUUGGCACCUCUAAAAAUGGUGCAGAAUAAGGGGUGGGCAAGUCUGGUGUCAGCCGCCGCGGUAAUACCAGCACCCCGAGUGGUCGGGACGUUUAUUGGGCCUAAAGCAUCCGUAGCCGGUUCUACAAGUCUUCCGUUAAAUCCACCUGCUUAACAGAUGGGCUGCGGAAGAUACUAUAGAGCUAGGAGGCGGGAGAGGCAAGCGGUACUCGAUGGGUAGGGGUAAAAUCCGUUGAUCCAUUGAAGACCACCAGUGGCGAAGGCGGCUUGCCAGAACGCGCUCGAUGGUGAGGGAUGAAAGCUGGGGGAGCAAACCGGAUUAGAUACCCGGGUAGUCCCAGCUGUAAACGAUGCAGACUCGGUGAUGAGUUGGCUUAUUGCUAACUCAGUGCCGCAGGGAAGCCGUUAAGUUUGCCGCCUGGGGAGUACGGUCGCAAGACUGAAACUUAAAGGAUUGGCGGGGGAGCA
rnacentral:rRNA from 1 species